rnacentral:rRNA from 1 species
UUCCGGUUGAUCCCGCCGGACCCCACUGCUAUCGGGAUAGGACUAAGACAUGCUAGUCAAGCGCUUUCUAGCUAAUGUGAGAGCGCGGCGUACAGCUCAGUAACACGUGGCCAACCUGCCCUUGGGACGGGAACACCCCCGGGAAACUGGGGUUAAUUCCCGAUAGGUGAAGAAGUCUGGAAUGAUUCUUCGCUCAAAAGACGUUUAUGUCAUGCUCAUAUUCGUCGCCCAGGGAUGGGGCCGCGACCGAUCAGGUAGUUGGUGAGGCAAUGGCUCACCAAGCCUUUUACCGGUGCGGGCCGUGAGAGCGGGAGCCCGGAGAUGGGCACUGAGACAAGGGCCCAGGCCCCACGGGGCGCAGCAGUCGCGAAAAUUUUGCAAUACACGAAAGUGUGACAGAGCUAUCCCGAGUGCCAUCCGCUGAGGAAGGCUUUUACCCAGUAUAAAUAGCUGGGAGAAUAAGGAGAGGGCAAGUCUGGUGUCAGCCGCCGCGGUAAUACCAGCUCUCCGAGUAGUGUGGACGUUUAUUGGGCCUAAAGCAUCCGUAGCUUGCUAGAUAAGUCCUCUGUUAAAUCCACCGAUUCAAUCGUUGGAUUGCGGGGGAUACUGUUUGGCUAGGGGACGGGAGAGGUCGACGGUAUUUCCGGGGUAGGGGUGAAAUCCUAUAAUCCUGGGAGGACCACCAGUGGCGAAGGCUGUUGACUAGAACGCGCCCGACGGUGAGGGAUGAAAGCUGGGGGAGCGAACCGGAUUAGAUACCCGGGUAGUCCCAGCUGUAAACGAUGCAGGCUAGGUGUUUGGGCGGCCACGAGCCGCCCUAGUGCCGCAGGGAAGCUGUUAAGCCUGCCGCCUGGGGAGUACGGCCGCAAGGCUGAAACUUAAAGGAAUUGGCGGGGGAGCACCACAAGGGGUGAAGCUUGCGGUUUAAUUGGAUUCAACGCCGGG